AUGUGUCAUGUAGCGGUGAAAUGCUUAGAUAUGACACAGAACACCGAUCGCGAAGGCAGCUCACUAAAUUGUAACUGACGCUCAUGCACGAAAGCGUGGGGAUCAAACAGGAUUAGAUACCCUGGUAGUCCACGCUGUAAACGAUGAUCACUCGAUGUUGGCGAUAUACUGUCAGCGUCUAAGCGAAAGCAUUAAGUGAUCCACCUGGGGAGUACGGCCGCAAGGUUGAAACUCAAAGGAAUUGACGGGGGCCCGCACAAGCGGAGGAGCAUGUGGUUUAAUUCGAUGAUACGCGAGGAACCUUACCUGGGCUAGAACGCAAGAUGACAGUUCGAGAAAUCGGAUCUUCCUUCGGGACAUUUUGCGAGGUGCUGCAUGGUUGUCGUCAGCUCGUGCCGUGAGGUGUCGGGUUAAGUCCCAUAACGAGCGCAACCCCUAUCUUUAGUUGCCAUCAGGUCAUGCUGGGGACUCUAGAGAAACUGCCUACGCAAGUAGUGAGGAAGGCGGGGAUGACGUCAAAUCAGCACGGCCCUUACGUCCAGGGCUACACACGUGCUACAAUGGCCGGUACAGAGGGUCGCUACCUGGUGACAGGAUGCUAAUCUCCAAAACCGGUCUCAGUUCGGAUCGAAGUCUGCAACUCGACUUCGUGAAGUUGGAUUCGCUAGUAAUCGUACAUCAGCAAUGGUA
rnacentral:rRNA from 1 species